rnacentral:rRNA from 1 species
AUGAUAUCGUUCAAAGAGUUCGAGGACAUCACCAAUAAAUUUUCCGAAAAGCAACUACAUGGUGAAAGUAUCUUUGGUGCUGUUUAUGAGGGUACACGUGUGGAUGGGGAAGAGAUGAUUGUGAUCAAACUGAAAGAGCAUAGGAGACCAUCAGAGACCCAGUUUAACCUGGUGGUAAAUGGUCUGAGAUUCGAGCACAAAAAUAUUCUACAACUUAAGGGUUACUGUGAUGAAACAGUUGAAGCAGCGAGUAAGAGGUUGCUCUGUUACGAGCUUUUGCAGAACGGUAGUCUGGACAGGAAAAUUUUUGGUGACCAAUCUCUCACACAACAUCCUUGGGAAGAACGUUACCGAAUAAUACAAGACAUAUGCAAGGUUUUGCAGUACCUACAUGAAGAAUGUAAAGAUGUCCACAUGGGCAUAACAGCAGGUAAUAUAUGGCUGGAUAAUGACAUGCUCCCGAAGGUUGGGUGUUGCGGUCUAUCAAGGAUCUUCGCUGCAGACCCGACUCAGAUAUACAAUACAAAGGGGAUACCUUGCACCGGAGCACAUUGA